GUUAGGAAUAUUGGACAAUGGGCGCAAGCCUGAUCCAGCCAUGCCGCGUGAGUGAUGAAGGCCUUCGGGUUGUAAAGCUCUUUAGUCCACGAAUAUAAUGACUGUAGUGGAAGAAUAAGCCCCGGCUAACUUCGUGCCAGCAGCCGCGGUAAUACGAAGGGGGCGAGCGUUAUUCGGAAUCACUGGGCGUAAAGCGUGCGUAGGCUGUUUUGUAAGUCAGAAGUGAAAGCCCAGGGCUUAACCCUGGAAUUGCUUUUGAAACUACAAGACUCGAAUUCGGGAGAGGAUAGCGGAAUUGUCAGUGUAGCAGUGAAAUGCGUAGAUAUUGACAGGAACACCAGUGGCGCAAGCGGCUAUCUGGACCGAUAUUGACGCUGAGGCACGAAAGCGUGGGGAGCAAACAGGAUUAGAAACCCUAGUAGUCU
rnacentral:rRNA from 1 species